UAGCUGGUUUGUUAGCUGUGUGCUUGAGUCUGUUGGUGGAGAAGCUGGGAAGCAUCUACCAGGUAUCCAGUAGCAUCCUCUCCUCCAUUGCCAGCCCGCUUUCUGGUAUCUUUAUUAUAGGAAUAUGCGCUCCGUGGGUUAAUGGAAAGGGCGCCAUCGUGGGGUUCGUCGUGUCCUUCGUUUUUAAUGUCUGGGUAGUUAUUGGUAAGUUUGUGCGAGGCGGUGGAGCACCAACACGCCUUCCUCUCUCCACUGAGGGCUGCCCAGAGAACCUCUUCCUUCUCCUUAACACCACCAUCGUCAGCAACGUCUCAGUGACUGAUGAUGUGCUGACUACCACCACACUGACUGCUACUGAACUACCCAUCUCUACUGUUACUCAGGGGUCUGCAGAUAAUACUAUCUACGAGGUGUCCUACUGCUAUUCUGGCGCUAUUGGCAUCAUCAUAACAUUUGUAGUCAGCAGCAUCGUCUCUCUCUGUACUGGCGCAGUCAACCCUAAGGAUACAGAAGGUACUGUUAAUCCACUCUGUGGCAGGCUGUACCACUGUGUGUGGUCGUUCUUCAAUAGUUCAUCGCACCUACAGUGUAGAAACCAUUAAGGAAGAGGAGUCGUUCAAGAUGUUACCAUCGACAGCCUUAUCACAGCCUAUUAUUAGUCAUUAUAAAGAGCCAAAAAACUCUCUCUCAGUUACCACAUACAACCUCGACACUCCCUCUUAGUAGUCAUAAGUGCAGCCUUCCUCAUGGGUUAUGCUGGGAAUAUGAAGCACAGUAAAUGAUGAACUUGUUCAGAUGAAUAAGAGAGUGUGUAUUUCUGUAAAAAUAAAGUCUGCAGUUACGUUUUAAACUAAAUUUCAAAAUUGUUUUGAAUCCUUGGUGAUUUUUUCAUUUUUUCUAAUUUAGCUUUUUUAACAAGGAUUUAAUGAGGCUCCGAAUAAAAAUUUCGCAGGAUAGUGGCAGUGUUUGAUGUGCACAGACCUCAUACACACUUCCAUUUUCGUUUUAAAUCUUCAGGCAGCAAACUCGAUAUAAUCCGGACGAGCUUGUUCAGCUCCAUGAACUUAAUUGAAUCCCUCAUUCGGCCAAUGCUGUAACACAUGCAAUAAUUAACUAGUGUUCUUUAUAUCAUAUCAAAUAUUAGAUGUUUGUUUCAAAACGUUUUCAGUUUUAUGUGGUACACUUCUAUAACACACACUAG